rnacentral:rRNA from 1 species
UACGAAGGGGGCUAGCGUUGCUCGGAUUGACUGGGCGUAAAGGGCGCGUAGGCGGUUCGUACAGUCAGACGUGAAAUUCCUGGGCUCAACCUGGGGGCUGCGUUUGAUACGUGCGGACUUGAGUGCGGAAGAGGGUCGUGGAAUUCCCAGUGUAGAGGUGAAAUUCGUAGAUAUUGGGAAGAACACCAGUGGCGAAGGCGGCUCACUGGCCCGUAACUGACGCUGAGGUGCGAAAGCGUGGGGAGCAAGCAGG